UCCGGUAGUGCUGAAAGA
rnacentral:misc_RNA from 1 species